CCUACGGGAGGCAGCAGCGAGGAAUAUUGGUCAAUGGACGCAAGUCUGAACCAGCCAUGCCGCGUGCAGGAAGACGGCUCUAUGAGUUGUAAACUGCUUUUGUACGAGGGUAAAUCCCGAUACGUGUAUCGGGUUGAAAGUAUCGUAAGAAUAAGGAUCGGCUAACUCCGUGCCAGCAGCCGCGGUAAUACGGAGGGUGCGAGCGGUAAUCGGAAUUACUGGGCGGAAAGCGCUCGUAGGCGGUAUGUCAAGUCAAGGGAGAAAUCCCCGCGAUCAACGUGGGAACUGCCUUUGAAACUGGCAAACUGGAGUGUGUGAGAGGAUAGUGGAAUUCCAGGCGUAGGAGUGAAAUCCGUAGAUAUCUGGAGGAACAUCAGUGGCGAAGGCGACUAUCUGGCACAUAACUGACGCUGAGGAGCGAAAGCGUGGGUAGCAAACAGGAUUAGAUACCCCAGUAGUC
rnacentral:rRNA from 1 species